UAGGUCCCAUUUAUCAGCCUCUCGUAGUUCCUAAUCAAAAUCUUCGAGAUCAAAUCAGUAGAUCGGUGGUUGAGCUCACUGUUCUUGAUCCUGAUAGUGAUUUUCCUGUACUUAUUCCCGGCAUUAUUAUCAUGUUAGAACCAAACAUGUGUGUCAUGUAGUUUGGAGGGAAUCUCAUCCGAGAUAACUAUUCCUUUCGACUUCGUUUUCUUAAUACUGCUAAAACAAAAGAUGUGUGUUUUGAGGACUUCACACUAAUUACCAGUGCCUCUAAAGCACCAUUAUUGGUUUUGCUUCCUUGUAAAACAGAAGUGCAGUCAUGUAUUGAAAUUCCGCUUGGUUCAAAUGUUUCUAGAAAUGAAAGAGUCUUCCUCUAUGUCAUCAGAUGUAUCGAUGACAAAAACUAUGUGCAUUCAAUAACAGAAGGCUCUGUAAAUUUUUCAGACCUGAGAGAAUUUAUUUGUGAUAGUUCUCCAACGUUCCACUCUUGUUAUGGAGGUCUUGUUUUUGAUAGCUUGGGGAAACUAGUAGGCAUUGGUUUUCAACAUUUUGGUCCAGUUACUUGUUUCCAAGUUGAUCAUAUUCAGGAACUACUUCAACGACUCUCUCCAGGAGAAAGCAUCAGUGACAUUUAAAAAAAUCUGCAAACCCGAAGUUAAAGAGCUCAUAACAGCUCUGGUUUGACCAAGCUACUCUUUUACUCCCUUUGACCAUCCUGAUUACUGGCGGUAUUUGUAAAAAUCUGAGAAAUUCGAAGCUACUGUUGACAAGCUACUCUUUCUUUGUUUCUCCAUCCUGG